CUCAUAUAUUAUUUAAAUGACUUGAAAGUUUAAACUUGAUAUGGGUUUUGAUGUGAUUGUACUUUUGAUUUUGCUGCUAAUUAUUAGAGUGAGAUUUGUACAUAGAUCUUCCAUAGUAUUUGAGUGAGUUAAGAAGAUUUCAUAAUAUUGAAAGGAAUGUUCUUCGGAGUUGAAUAUGUAUAUAGAUUAUAUCUGGUAUUGGCAUGUUGGAUAUUGCAAAUAGGUCUAUUUUCGAUUGAUGUAUUUGAUUAUUUUGAGGCCAUAGAGUAUGCAUAUUGACGGAGGAAUUCUAAUUAUUUGAAUUCUCAUAUUCGGAUUGGGCUACUGGAUUUUACUUAUAAUUGUAGAAGACUAUUUGAUGUGUUAAAUUUAAAACUCAAGCCUAGAUUUAAGAUUUGAGUAGGAUCUUUUGUGAUAAAGCUACUAAUAAAUGUCAUAUUGAGUAGAGACUUUGGUCAUGAGAUGCUUACAUGAAUUAUCAUAUAUAGCAUUGCUGAUGGAUGUUAAGAAUCUUGGUGAAGAAAGAUCUGGAGAUCGAUAGAGUUAAUUUAUAAUCAUAGUGUAUUGGCUCAAUGACUUCUAACCAAUUGAAUUUGAAGUAAAUCUUCUUGGAAAGAAGAUCAAUGUAGAUUGUUUAAUCGAAUUGCUGAGGAAAACCAAGGUUAACUUAUUUUAAUUUAAGCCUAGAUAUUUUGGAUUCUAAGUUAUGGAGAUCAUGUAGUGACCUUAAACAUGACUAAUGGUUUAAGAGUUAGUUAUGAUAAGUAUACUCUACAUAAAUUGAGGAUAGAGAGAUUUAGAGGUUCUACUCAAUUAAAGUUUCAAAAUUUGAAUUUUCUUACCCCUAGUGCAAGUGAUAUUUCGAUCAUAAAUCAUUUAGAGGCUUUAGAGUAUUUAAUGGAUUGAAUCAGAGUGCGCAGCGGAAGUGUGGUGGUUUGAGUUAUUUUGAAACUGGUUAAGGACAUUAAUAUUUGAUCUAAAAGGUAUUAUGAUGGAACACUUGAGUUAGUUUCUAGUAGAGGAGAAUGUUGUUGAUUCUAUAGAUGAUCUAGAGGUAGCUAUCACUACAACAAAAAUAGUUUUUGCCGACUCUAUAUUGCCGACGCUAGAUAAAAGCGUUGGCUAAAUUUUUUCUCCCCACAGUAACCGCCGACGCUUCUAGGAAGCGUCGGCAAAAAAACAUCUGCCGACGCUUAUAAGCGCCGGCUUAACGGAAAAAUACGACGA
rnacentral:lncRNA from 1 species